rnacentral:rRNA from 1 species
CCGCCAGAGAAUUACAAGCGAAAAGCUUAAAACUCAAAGGACUUGGCGGUAUCCCAAACCGACCUAGAGGAGCCUGUCCUAUAAUCGAUACUCCCCGCUCUACCCAACCUCUACUAGUAUUUUCAGCCUAUAUACCGCCGUCGAUCAGCCUACCCUGUGAAGGUCUAACAGUAGACUAAAUAGCCCGCUCGCUAGUACGUCAGGUCAAGGUGUAGCUAAUGUAGAGGAAGAGAUUGGCUACAUUUUCUAUACUAGAAAAUACGGAAUAUAAUAUGAAACCCUAUACAAAGGUGAAUUUAGCAGUAAAAU